AGGUCUAAGGUAAUCUAAAGUUCUCAAUUUAGAGUUAUAGCUCUCAAUCUCUCCCAACUCACUCUCUUUCAAAAUCUAAACGGGCCAAAUUCGCCCAUGAAUUCUUGCAGAGGAAACUGGAAGAAAAUAUAUUUGCAAGUUCUCAAAUUAGUUGUUUAAUUGGACGCUUAGUUAGUCAAAGUCGACAGUUGAAAGAGAUGUUGCACCAGUUCCCCAUAUGUUUACACAUUCAGGUAUUUCUUAUCUGGCUUAAGAUAU